rnacentral:rRNA from 1 species
AGAGUUUGAUCCUGGCUCAGAACGAACGCUGGCGGCAUGCCUAACACAUGCAAGUCGAACGAGACCUUCGGGUCUAGUGGCGCACGGGUGCGUAACGCGUGGGAAUCUGCCCUCUGGUACGGAAUAACUCAGAGAAACUUGAGCUAAUACCGUAUAAUGACUUCGGUCCAAAGAUUUAUCGCCUGAGGAUGAGCCCGCGUAGGAUUAGCUUGUUGGUGAGGUAAAGGCUCACCAAGGCGACGAUCCUUAGCUGGUCUGAGAGGAUGAUCAGCCACACUGGGACUGAGACACGGCCCAGACUCCUACGGGAGGCAGCAGUGGGGAAUAUUGGACAAUGGGCGCAAGCCUGAUCCAGCAAUGCCGCGUGAGUGAUGAAGGCCUUAGGGUUGUAAAGCUCUUUUACCCGGGAUGAUAAUGACAGUACCGGGAGAAUAAGCCCCGGCUAACUCCGUGCCAGCAGCCGCGGUAAUACGGAGGGGGCUAGCGUUGUUCGGAAUUACUGGGCGUAAAGCGCACGUAGGCGGCUUUGCAAGUUAGAGGUGAAAGCCCGGGGCUCAACUCCGGAAUUGCCUUUAAAACUGCAUCGCUAGAGUUGUGGAGAGGUAAGUGGAAUUCCGAGUGUAGAGGUGAAAUUCGUAGAUA